GACGAACGCUGGCGGCGUGCUUAACACAUGCAAGUCGAGCGGUAAGGCCCUUUCGGGGGUACACGAGCGGCGAACGGGUGAGUAACACGUGGGUGACCUGCCCUCAGCUCUGGGAUAAGCCUGGGAAACCGGGUCUAAUACUGGAUAUGACUCCAUGACGCAUGUUGUGGGGUGGAAAGCCUUGUGCGGCUGAGGAUGGGCCCGCGGCCUAUCAGCUUGUUGGUGGGGUGANGGCCUACCAAGGCGACGACGGGUAGCCGGCCUGAGAGGGCGACCGGCCACACUGGGACUGAGACACGGCCCAGACUCCUACGGGAGGCAGCAGUGGGGAAUCUUGGACAAUGGGCGCAAGCCUGAUCCAGCCAUGCCGCGUGUGUGAAGAA
rnacentral:rRNA from 1 species